rnacentral:piRNA from 1 species
UCAGUUCUCUCUAAAGAUGUAGUUGUCCUGA